GACGAACGCUGGCGGCGUGCUUAACACAUGCAAGUCGAGCGGAAAGGCCCUUUCGGGGGUACUCGAGCGGCGAACGGGUGAGUAACACGUGAGUAAUCUGCCCUGGACUCUGGGAUAGCCACCGGAAACGGUGAUUAAUACCGGAUAUGACACCUUGCUGCAUGGUGGGGUGUGGAAAGUUUUUUCGGCCCAGGAUGUGCUCGCGGCCUAUCAGCGUGUUGGUGAGGUAAUGGCUCACCAAGGCUUUGACGGGUAGCCGGCCUGAGAGGGUGACCGGUGACACUGGGAGUGAGCAACGGGCCAGACUCCGACGGGAGGGAGCAGUGGGGAAUAUUGGACAAUGGGCGGAAGCCUGAUCCAGCAACGCCGCGUGAGGGAUGACGGCCUUCGGGUUGUAAACCUCUUUCAGUACCGACGAAGCGAAAGUGACGGUAGGUACAGAAGAAGGACCGGCCAACUACGUGCCAGCCGCCGCAGUAACAC
rnacentral:rRNA from 1 species